GACUCACGUGAUAAAAUUUUUUGCAAACAAAAAAUAAAAACUGAAGUCUGAAUUCUGAUUCUGCAAAUUCUGCAUUAUUUUUAUCGAAAUUUCGAGUAUUUUUGGAUUAUUUUUGUGAAAAAAUUGUGUUAAUCAAUCAUGUCGACGUCGGUAAGUGAUGUUUCAACAAUCACGUUCUAGUUGAACUUUGUUUUUCGUUUUGAAUUACGUGUUUUUAUUUGUAUCUCAUGUAUCUGUCUGCAUCGAAAUUGUCCGGCGAAAUACGAAUUAAUUUGCGAUGAAAUUAAGUAUUUUUAUUGAAUAAAAUCAAGGAGGGGCUAUACUGAAUUUAACCGUAAACUUAAACUUAACCCUAGAAGUUAAACAAAGGCAAAUUUUAGGUUAACGCACGUUAAAUUCAGUAUAAACCAAGCUAAAGUAUAAGUUAAGGGAAUAAGUAUCCCCUUAAAUUCAGUAUAGCCUAUCCUUUAUGUUUUUUCGUUAUUUACGUGGUAUCUUCGAAUGUUCGGUUCAUCAGAGUUCAUUUUGUUUUCUGAUCGCGUGGUUACCGAACGUAAGUAGGAAGGGCCGCCAGAGCUCCCAGAGCUGCAGAAGGAUUGACACUGAUCGAAGGUUUGAAUUUUUUGAAUGAUUUAAAAUUAUCAUAUUUUGAUUGAAUUAUUCGUGCACCUCAACCUCGAUGAUUGUUGGCAAGCUCGCAGGAAAUGAGCAACUGGAACAGACUGUAGCUGAAUUCAAUUCUUUUGGACGUUAAUUCAAGAUGGUGAAAGGCUGUAGUAAAAUCUUCAAAAACCAGAACCGGGCGUCGACUUUAGGGGUUAACCUAUUUGCAGAUUGGAUGACGGCGGAAUUGGUAAGUUUUUUAUUACUUUUUUGCAUGGGGUGUUGGGCUUGGAGUAGAAUUAAGGGCGUGGAAUUGGAGAAAAAAUAGUGCUC